rnacentral:misc_RNA from 1 species
GAUGAAGAACGUAGCGAAAUGCGAUAAGUAAUGUGAAUUGCAGAAUUCAGUGAAUCAUCGAAUCUUUGAACGCACAUUGCGCCUUCUGGUAUUCCGGGGGGCAUGCCUGUUCGAGCGUCAUUACAACCCUCAAGCUUUGCUUGGUAUUGGACAUUGCCAGUUUCUGGCAGGUCUUAAAAUCAGUGGCGGUGCCAUUUGGCUUCAAGCGUAGUAAUUCUUCUCGCUUUGGAGAUCCAGGUGGUUACUUGCCAAUAACCCCCAAUUUUUUCAGGUUGACCUCGGAUCAGGUAGGGAUACCCGCUGAACUUAAGCAUAUCAAUAAGCGGAGGA